UCUGAAGGGGGAGAACAGAAGGGGCUGAAGGACUCUUGUCCUGUGGUGUAAGCAGAUAAUGACACUUCAGCUGCUUCUCUGCACAGGCAGGAGAGGACCAAGGACUUAAAGAAUGUGCAUCCUGGGACAACGGAGAUGAUGCGGUGAGAUGCUCGCCCGUGAGCAUGAGAGCCAGAGUUCGAUGCUGAGCAUCCAGUUCCAUUGGAAGUGAUAAGAUCAUCUAUACUGAAGUCUGCUAUGAGCCAGAACAUUAUCUGGGAAGUCAGGUGAGGACAUGGACCAUCCCUUACUGCUUUUUUUAGUUUAAUUAUUUUAUAUGUAUGAGUGUCUGCCUGUGUGUAUGUGUACUGUGUGAGUGCCUGGUCCCAGAAGAGGGCAUUGGAUCCCCUGGAAUUGGAGUUGGAGACACUGUUGAGUCACCAUUUGGGCAGGCACAUAGGGCAUUUCCUUAAUUAGUGACUGACAUGCAAGAGCACAGCCCGUUGUAGG